rnacentral:rRNA from 1 species
GAUGAACGCUGGCGGCGUGCCUAAUACAUGCAAGUCGAGCGAACAGAUAAGGAGCUUGCUCCUUUGAAGUUAGCGGCGGACGGGUGAGUAACACGUGGGUAACCUACCUAUAAGACUGGGAUAACUUCGGGAAACCGGAGCUAAUACCGGAUAACAUUUAGAACCGCAUGGUUCUAAAGUGAAAGAUGGUUUUGCUAUCACUUAUAGAUGGACCCGCGCCGUAUUAGCUAGUUGGUAAGGUAACGGCUUACCAAGGCGACGAUACGUAGCCGACCUGAGAGGGUGGUCGGCCACAUUGGAAGUGAGACAGGGUCCAGACUCCGGCGGGAGGCAGCAGUAGGGAAUCUUCCGCGAGGGGCGAAAGGCUGACGGAGCAACGCCGGGGGAGGGAUGAAGGGUUUCGGCUCGGAAAGCUCUGUUAUUAGGGAAGAACAAAUGUGUAAGUAACUGUGCACAUCUUGACGGUACCUAAUCAGAAAGCCACGGCUAACUACGUG